GAUAGAGAUGGCACUGUGGAAAACUUUCAUUGGGUUCGCAAUAAAUACCUGGUCAAGAUAGAGAUGGCACUGUGGAAAACUUUCAUUGGGACUUACGACGAAUAAAUGACUCUUUUGAUUUCAAAAAUGGACACUUAGAAUUAUCCUCCGAUAAACGUAACAGCAGUCUUGUAACAUUCCUCAAAGAACAUUUUUACACUGAUGAAGCUUUAUGUAAAUCUUUAGGAGCAGAGUUUGAUGAAGAGGUAGCUGGAAUAUUCUCAGAAGUUUUUCGUGAAAAUCUGUCUGUUUUACUGAUAUCAGAUUCAACCGGAGAAAUAAUAGCCUGUAGGUCAAUGUGUUUAGCCAAGAAAGGCGAAAAGGCAGAUUGGUCAAAAUCCAAAAAUAGAAAAUGGGUUACAAUAAUGGACUUUUUGGGGCAUAGAUAUGAUGCAAUGGACGUAUUUAAACGAUAUAACGCAGACAUAGCAGUGUCCUUUUUUGCUCUGGCAACCCAUAGAGAUCACCGAGCACAGGGAAUAGCUUCUAAAUUAAUGAAAGCCACUCUACUAUUUUGUAAAGAACUAGGGUUAAGUCCAGUUUUCAUAAAAGGUGAAGGCACUUCAAUUUAUUCCCAGAAAAUUUAUGAAAAAUUUGGAUUUGAGACCAUUCACACCUUACCAUACGAUGAAUACAAAAUUGACGGAGAAAUCGUGUUUAAAAAUACGGGUGAAAACAAGUCAACUAAAUGUUAUGUAAAGCAACUUUGAUGUUGUUAAGUUGGACCAUUUUUUAGUAUUCUGACGAAACCGUUAAUUUUUAGACGUACAUUGAUAUUUAUAAUUUUGAAGAGACAAUUUGCAUAUCCUAGAAUUAAAUAUAUAUAUAUAUAUA